GAAAUGCGAUAAGUAAUGUGAAUUGCAGAAUUCAGUGAAUCAUCGAAUCUUUGAACGCACAUUGCGCCCGCCAGUAUUCUGGCGGGCAUUCCUGUUCGAGCGUCAUUACAACCCUCAGGCCCCCGGGCCUGGCGUUGGGGAUCGGCGGAAGCCCCCUGCGGGCACAACGCCGUCCCCCAAAUACAGUGGCGGUCCCGCCGCAGCUUCCAUUGCGUAGUAGCUAACACCUCGCAACUGGAGAGCGGCGCGGCCACGCCGUAAAACACCCAACUUCUGAAUGUUGACCUCGAAUCAGGUAGGAAUACCCGCUGAACUUAAGC
rnacentral:misc_RNA from 1 species